UGGGAACCUUCCCUAUGGUUCGGAAUAGCUCAGGGAAACUUGGGGUAAUACCGGAUAAGCCCUUCGGGGGAAAGAUUUAUCGCCAUUGGAUGGGCCCGCGUCGGAUUAGCUAGUUGGUGAGGUAACGGCUCACCAAGGCGACGAUCGGUAGCUGGUCUGAGAGGACGAUCAGCCACACUGGGACUGAGACACGGCCCAGACUCCUACGGGAGCAG
rnacentral:rRNA from 1 species